rnacentral:rRNA from 1 species
GGUUAAGCGACUAAGCGUACACGGUGGAUGCCCUGGCAGUCAGAGGCGAUGAAGGACGUGCUAAUCUGCGAUAAGCGUCGGUAAGGUGAUAUGAACCGUUAUAACCGGCGAUUUCCGAAUGGGGAAACCCAGUGUGAUUCGUCACACUAUCAUUACGUGAAUACAUAGCGUAAUGAAGCGAACCGGGGGAACUGAAACAUCUAAGUACCCCGAGGAAAAGAAAUCAACCGAGAUUCCCCCAGUAGCGGCGAGCGAACGGGGAGCAGCCCAGAGUCUGAAUCAGCAUGUGUGGUAG